GACGAACCGAGCGAACGUUGUUCGGAAUCACUGGGCUUAAAGGGCGCGUAGGCGGGCUGUCAAGUCUGGGGUGAAAUCCCGCGGCUUAACCGUGGAACUGCCUCAGGUACUGAUGGCCUCGAGGGAGAUAGGGGCUAGCGGAACUAAUGGUGGAGCGGUGAAAUGCGUUGAUAUCAUUAGGAACUCCGGUGGCGAAGGCGGCUCGCUGGGUCUCUUCUGACGCUGAUGCGCGAAAGCUAGGGGAGCAAACGGG
rnacentral:rRNA from 1 species